AAGUUCAGCGUCAAGGUUUAUUUUCAUGUCCAAUAUCCAAAAGUUUCAGAUUUUUUAGUAACUUAAUUGAUUGAUUGUUUACUUUAAUUUGUUUUUCAAAUUGGUUUCAUUUUGUUCCUCGGUCCAUUAAUGUUUUAGCUACAUCUAGCCUCCCUUUCAAUUUAUAAAUCCCUGUAUGAGCGAAACUUGAACCCAGAUACCUCAGACCAAUCCCUGUAUGAUUUUUUCAAUUAAGCUAGCCGAUCCCAAAAGAAGAAGAUGAAGAAGAAGAAGCAACGGCACUUCAAGGCAUUGUUAUUUCCAAAAAAACAGGUGUCUAACAUAGAAAAUGAUGUAUCGGGAGAGGGACAAAAUGCAAAAUCUGAUUUGCACCACAAAUAAUAUCACUAAAAAUAUUGUAGGAUCUUCAAGAAACUUGUAAAGGAUACUUCUUGAAUAUUGUCUUCAGUUUCUCUUUCUCUCUGGAGAUUUCUCUUUAGCUAGACACCAAAACUUUAAAGGAAAACAACCAAUCAAGAAACUACAAACCCUACAAAGAAUGACAAGACCCUGUAUCUGUGAAGAUGAUAGAAACAGCGUCAGGAAACCAAGACGCAUUUAAUUUGUUGCAUCUUCUAUCUAGUUCUCUUCCAUCAGAUUUCCUCCAACUGUAACUAUAUUUUGUUUGUUUUGAAGGGAUGAUUUUGAUGUAUUGAGAAGUACUCCGUGGAGUUCCUUUCGAAGCUAAUCCAGAUUGUUGUGUUGCUUCGACGGGAAGGCGAAUUCUUGAGGCCCACUGUCCUACUUGGAAAAACAAUGCCGCGUAGCAUUCAUUCCUUUUCUAGGUCAACUGUACUCUGCAAUCAGAAAUUAAACAGAUAUCUCAUUGUAAUAAUUCGAGUUGGUGUUCUCUUCUUGCAUUCAUCGAAACCUGGACAAGGUUGUCAAUUGCAAAUGUUUGAUGUCGUGCACAAAAUUACAAUGGAAAGAGUCGUAGCAGAUUGGUACAGUAGAAAGAGAAAGAAUCCUAUUAGAAGAAGAAGCUGAGAUCGAUGGUGGCAAGUAGAGAUGGUGGACCUGCAAGAUUUACUUAAAUCUUUAGUAACCCUAACUUGUAAGUUCAAAGUACUGUAAUUAACGAGUUUUUAUAUGAGAAAAUAAUUUUUCAAGGGUACCGAAGUAGACAUCAAUUGGACAUUUUUUUCUUCUGGUGUUGGGUG
rnacentral:lncRNA from 1 species